AGAAUUUAUUUUUCACCUUUAGAUAAUCGUCCACCCAUUAACUCGAUUCUGAAAUCUUUUCUAAGGAGUAUUGAAGAAACGAUGAUAUAUAUAUUUUAACAAAUCUAUUAUUCGGAGAAAACUGUACGACUUUAUUAUAAAUAUAUGUUACUCAUCGACCUGUUAUGUGAGUUUCUGAUGUUCCUAUAAAUAAAUUCGAUUCUUCUAGACAAGACCUUAGGUUAUAUGCUUUAAAUUAUAAGGCCAAACCGCAGUUUCUCUUAACUCUUCCCGACAAACUCAACCAUAGCUUUAACGUGACGAGAUAGAAAACCUAAAGAAGGCGAAACUCAUUAAGAGGGAAGAAAAAGAAAAAGAAGAAAUUCUCGUGAACUUCCCGCCUUCUUCCUUCGACUAUUUCACUCUGUUACAGGGUUUAAAGUAAAGAGAUCGGAUCGAAGUUUCCGCUUUUGGAUUCCUGAUUCGUGUGGUGUGGUCAACACCGUGUUCCCGAUUGCCACGUGCUAGAUUUGGAUCGAUUGAAAAUAAGAGAGAUUUGCUAAAUUUAUGGGGUGUCUCCGGCGACGGCAAGAGAGUAUAGCCGAGGAAGAUGAUAUAAACGACGACGUUUCAAGGAGAAGAGGUGGGUUCAGCUUGGCCGAGUCGUUCCGGUGGCUUGAUUCCCCUGAGCAUCUGAAAGAUGAUUCCGAUGGCCCUAACGAAUACCCUUGGAUCAUUAAGCCCUCAAUUAGGUGGUACAAGGCAUGGGAGUUAUUCAUAUUGGUCUGGGCAAUAUACUCGUCUUUGUUCACUCCCAUGGAGUUUGGUUUCUUCCGCGGUCUACCCGAAAACCUCUUCAUACUCGACAUUGUUGGUCAGAUCGCAUUUUUGGUCGAUAUUGUUCUACAGUUUUUUGUCGCCUUCCAAGAUAAGCAUAACUACCGAAUUGACAGCAAACCAACACAUAUUGCUCUCCGGUACUUGAAAUCGCAUUUUUUCUUGGAUUUGGUCAGUUGCUUCCCAUGGGAUCUCAUCUAUAAGGCUUCAGGGAAACAUGAGGUGGUGAGGUACAUAUUGUGGAUAAGGCUGUUUCGUGUGCGCAAAGUGAUUGAGUUCUUCCAAAGGCUUGAGAAAGACACGAGAAUCAACUAUCUCUUCACCAGAAUCUUGAAGCUCAUUUUCGUUGAGGUUUACUGUACUCACACUGCUGCAUGCAUCUUCUAUUACUUGGCCACCACUCUUCCUGCUGAGAACGAAGGUUAUACUUGGAUCGGUAGCCUGAAGUUAGGAGACUAUAGCUACGAGAAUUUCCGAAAGAUCGACAUCUGGAAACGUUACACCACAUCUCUCUACUUCGCCAUUGUCACUAUGGCUACUGUCGGUUAUGGAGACAUACAUGCCGUAAAUUUAAGGGAAAUGAUAUUUGUAAUGAUAUAUGUUUCGUUCGAUAUGGUUCUUGGUGCGUACCUUAUUGGUAACAUCACUGCCUUGAUUGUGAAAGGAUCAAACACAGAGAGAUUUAGAGAUAAAAUGAAUGAUCUGGCAAGUUUCAUGAACCGAAAAAAACUUAGGGGAGACAUUCGUAGCCAGAUAACUCAUCACGUUAGAUUGCAGUACGACAGUAAAUUCACCAACACUGUCAUGCUUCAAGACAUCCCAGCCUCUAUCCGCGCCAAGAUUGCGCAGUUAUUAUACACGCCUUACAUUGAGAAAAUCCCUCUGUUCAAGGGCUGCUCAUCAGAGUUUAUUAACCAGAUAGUUGUAAGGCUCCAUGAAGAGUAUUUUUUUCCAGGAGAAGUAAUCACAGAGCAAGGAAACGUCGUUGAUCAUUUGUAUUUCGUCUGUGAAGGCUCACUGGAGGCUCUUGAAACAAAAACAGAUGGAACAGAAGACCUUGUGGAGUUGCUUGAGCCUCACACUUCUUUUGGUGAUAUAUCCAUCAUCUGCAACAUCUCUCAACCUUUCACUAUUAGAGUUCGUUCAUUGUGCCAUCUUUUACGCCUCGAUAAACAGUCUUUCUCCAACAUCCUCGAGAUUUAUUUUCAUGAUGGACGCAAAAUCCUAAACAAUCUUAUGGAGGGUAAAGAAUCAAAUGAGAGGAUAAAGAAGCUCGAAUCUGACAUUAUGAUUCACAUUGGGAAACAAGAAGCAGAACUUGCAUUGAAGGUAAACAGUGCAGCUUUCCAAGGAGAUAUCUACCAGCUUAAAAGCUUAGUCCGCUCUGGCGCCGAUCCUAACAAAACAGAUUACGAUGGAAGAGCACCGCUUCGUCUAGGGGAUACGAAGACAUUACAUUGUUUCUUAUUCAAGAAGGCGUCGAUAUAAAUCAAAAAGAUAAAUUUGGCAAUACACCAUUGUUAGAGGCUGUAAAAGCAGGGCAAGACAGAGUGAUCGAUUUGCUUGUCAAAGAAGGAGCUUCCUUUGAUUUAGAAGAUGCUGGAAACUUUCUCUGCACGGUAGUUGUGAAAGGCGACUCUGAUUUUCUUAAGAGAUUGCUCUCAAGCGGUAUGGACCCAAACACCGAAGAUUAUGAUCAUAGAACACCGCUUCAUGUCGCUGCUUCAGAAGGCUUAUUCUUGAUGGCUAAGAUGCUUGUUGAAGCUGGAGCUAGCGUUGUCGCUAAAGACCGGUGGGGAAACUCUCCGCUUGAUGAAGCUCGAAUGUGUGGAAACAAGAAAUUGAUUAAGUUACUUGAAGACGCGGAUACAGCUCAGCCUUAUAUACGCCCGUCAAGCUUUCAUGAACCACAAGAUGAGAAAUUUGAGAGACGGAAAUGCACAGUGUUUCCAUUCCACCCACAUGAGGAGCCGAGUAGAAAGCAUGGAGUUAUGGUUUGGCUUCCGCGUGACCUCCAGAAACUUGUGGAAACAGCUGCGCAAGAGCUCGGGAUAUCUAAUGAAGUCUCCUUUGUAAUAUUGGCCGAGGAAGGAGGUCGAAUCACAGACAUUGAUAUGAUCAGUGAUGGACAGAAACUGUAUUUGAUCAGUGAUAGUACUGAUCAAUCAACCUGAUUGAAUCAACUCCAUAUUAUUGAUUCUUUCCAUCAUUCCCAUACAAAGCCAUUUGAGGUUAUAUUGUUCUUAUAGAGCAUUAAGGGAUAUAUAUUGCAUAGUAUAGAGCACUUUGUCUUCUGUUCCUAACACAUAAUUGGUCAUUUUAUUCAUUUCCCCUGUAUCCUAAAACAUUAAAGUGGCUUCUUGAGAUACUUAAAGUCCAUUAUAAGAGGAUGAACUUUUAACU